rnacentral:rRNA from 1 species
UACGUAGGGUGCGAGCGUUUGUCCGGAAUUAUUGGGCGUAAAGAGCUCGUAGGCGGUGUGUCACGUCGGAUCGUGAAAACUUGGGGCUUAACUCUGAGCUUGCGGUCGAUACGGGCAUCACUGGAGUUCGGCAGGGGAGACUGGAAUUCCUGGUGUAGCGGUGAAAUGCGCAGAUAUCAGGAGGAACACCGGUGGCGAAGGCGGGUCUCUGGGCCGAUACUGACGCUGGAGGAGCG